rnacentral:rRNA from 1 species
CAAUAGCGUAUAUUAAAGUUGUUGCAGUUAAAAAGCUCGUAGUUGGAUUUCUGUCCAAGCAGAGUGUCCUGCCUAUGGUUUGUGUCACUUUUGUUUGGGCAUUUCCCACGGUCUAUAUGAACUUUGCUGUUUAUAUGGGGUGUGGGGCCUUUACUUUGAGAAAAUUAGAGUGUUUCAAGCAAGCGAUUGCUUUGAAUACUGCAGCAUGGAAUAAUAUCAUAGGACUUCGGUUCUAUAUAUUGGUUCUAGAACCGCAGUAAUGAUUAAUAGGGACAGUUGGGGGCACUCGUAUUUAACUGUCAGAGGUGAAAUUCUUGGAUUUGUUAAAGACGAACUACUGCGAAAGCAUUUGCCAAGGAUGUUUUCAUUA